rnacentral:rRNA from 1 species
GUAGAGGUGACAGACCUAACGAGCUUAGUGAUAGCUGGUUACUUAAGAAAAGGAUCUUAGUCCUCCCCAAAUUUUUUACAAUAUUUAUAAAUAAAAACUAAAAUUUGGAGUUAUUCAAAUAAGGUACAGCCUAUUUGAACCAGGAUACAACCUCCUCAAACGGGUAAUUAAAUCCAUAUACAGCAAAGUAGGCCUAAAAGCAGCCAUCUUCAAAAAGCGUCAAAGCUUAUCUUCAAAUUUUCAUAAUCCCCCUAAUUUUUAAAACCCCUUAAUCUUUAUUAAGUAACUCUAUAAAAUUAUAGUAUUUAUUAUGUUAAAACUAGUAACGAGAAUCAGAACUUCUCUUUAAUGUAAGUGUAAAUCAGAAUGGACAAACCACUGAUUUUUAACACUUGAAACCAAAGUAACAACCCACCAAGAAAAUCUUACCUCAAAUAGUGUUAACCUGACACAAGAACAUUCUCAGACAGAUUGAAAGGAAAAGAAGGAACUCGGCAAACAUUAACCCCGCCUGUUUACCAAAAACAUCGCCUCUUGAUAAACAUAUAAGAGGUCCAGCCUGCCCAGUGACUCUGUUCAACGGCCGCGGUAUCCUAACCGUGCGAAGGUAGCGUAAUCACUUGUUCUUUAAAUGAGGACUAGUAUGAAUGGCAUCACGAGGGUUAUACUGUCUCCUUUCCCCAAUCAGUGAAACUAAUCUCCUCGUGAAGAAGCGAGGAUAAAUAUAUAAGACGAGAAGACCCUAUGGAGCUUAAAACUUUCAGCAAUUAUCUUUUCUAUAACAACCUUAAGGUUAUUACAUCAACUCUAAUAAUAUGCCUGUCAGUUUUCGGUUGGGGUGACCGCGGAGUAAAACUCACCCUCCGCAAUGAAUAUUAACAAUUAAGCAAAAAACUACAAUUUUAUGCAUCAAAAAAUUGACAGUAUUGACCCAACACUUUGAUCAAUGAACCAAGUUACCCUAGGGAUAACAGCGCAAUCCAUCUCAAGAGCUCAUAUCGACAGAUGGGUUUACGACCUCGAUGUUGGAUCAGG